rnacentral:lncRNA from 1 species
CCCUCUAAUAGCCAUGUACGGUUGAACCUAGAGCUCAAAAUCUAUCACUCUCACUCUGCCGGAGUCACCAACUGUGACCUGUACGGCCUAUUGCCGGAGUCACUAGCUGUAACCUGUACGGCCUUCUGCACAUAAGUCGGAACCACCUAAUGUAGUCUGUACGACUUAAUGGUUAAUAUUACGCUCUAGUGCUUUCUCAUCAAUCAUCUGUGCACAUAAUCUAAGGUCACCCACCAGUCGAAAUCUCACUAACACUCUUCGACUGGCCCGUCGCACCCACUUCGCGUGGACUGUGCGACCAGCAUCUACUUGGAUCCAAGGCGAGCGUGCGAUGCGGUGAAUACUAUAAGCACUAAACCAUGGUGCAGGAUUUGAGCUCAAUAUACAUCAACAUCAUCAUAACAGUAAUUAAAU